GACGAACGCUGGCGGCGUGCUUAACACAUGCAAGUCGAACGGUAAGGCUCCAGCUUGCUGGGGUACACGAGUGGCGAACGGGUGAGUAACACGUGGGUGACCUGCCCUGCACUUCGGGAUAAGCCUGGGAAACUGGGUCUAAUACCGGAUAGGACUGCACCGUGAGGGUGUGGUGGAAAGUUUUUUCGGUGUGGGAUGGGCCCGCGGCCUAUCAGCUUGUUGGUGGGGUAAUGGCCUACCAAGGCGGCGACGGGUAGCCGGCCUGAGAGGGUGGACGGCCACAUUGGGACUGAGACACGGCCCAGACUCCUACGGGAGGCAGCAGUGGGGAAUAUUGCACAAUGGGCGGAAGCCUGAUGCAGCGACGCCGCGUGGGGGAUGACGGCCUUCGGGUUGUAAACUCCUUUCACCAUCGACGAAGGGUUUCUGACGGUAGAUGGAGAAGAAGCACCGGCUAACUACGUGCCAGCAGCCGCGGUAAUACGUAGGGUGCGAGCGUUGUCCGGAAUUACUGGGCGUAAAGAGCUCGUAGGUGGUUUGUCGCGUCGUCUGUGAAAUUCCGGGGCUUAACUCCGGGCGUGCAGGCGAUACGGGCAUAACUUGAGUACUGUAGGGGAGACUGGAAUUCCUGGUGUAGCGGUGAAAUGCGCAGAUAUCAGGAGGAACACCGGUGGCGAAGGCGGGUCUCUGGGCAGUAACUGACGCUGAGGAGCGAAAGCAUGGGGAGCGAACAGGAUUAGAUACCCUGGUAGUCCAUGCCGUAAACGGUGGGCGCUAGGUGUGGGUUUCCUUUCACGGGAUCCGUGCCGUAGCUAACGCAUUAAGCGCCCCGCCUGGGGAGUACGGCCGCAAGGCUAAAACUCAAAGGAAUUGACGGGGGCCCGCACAAGCGGCGGAGCAUGUGGAUUAAUUCGAUGCAACGCGAAGAACCUUACCUGGGCUUGACAUAUACAGGAUCGCGCCAGAGAUGGUGUUUCCCUUGUGGCUUGUAUACAGGUGGUGCAUGGUUGUCGUCAGCUCGUGUCGUGAGAUGUUGGGUUAAGUCCCGCAACGAGCGCAACCCUUGUCUUAUGUUGCCAGCACGUUGUGGUGGGGACUCGUAAGAAACUGCCGGGGUUAACUCGGAGGAAGGUGGGGAUGACGUCAAAUCAUCAUGCCCCUUAUGUCCAGGGCUUCACACAUGCUACAAUGGUCGGUACGGUGGGUUGCCAGUCCGUGAGGGCGAGCUAAUCCCGCAAAGCCGGUCUCAGUUCGGAUCGGGGUCUGCAACUCGACCCCGUGAAGUCGGAGUCGCUAGUAAUCGCAGAUCAGCAACGCUGCGGUGAAUACGUUCCCGGGCCU
rnacentral:rRNA from 1 species